GGUACACUCCAUAGAACUUCAAGCAACUGACGAGCAUGACCGUCCACUCGUCACCUGCUCGAUUGUCAGCAGCGGCAAGAUAGAUGUGAAGACGCCCUUUGUGGUGGAGGUUGCCGACUGGUGAUGACCAGGAGAAAAGAAAACACUCUCGCCGGGGAAAAAUUUUUAAAAACUCAUCGCUCAAUUGGGUGCCGGUGCUAAUGCCUAUAAUCCUAGCUACUCUGGAAGCUAAGAUAGGAAGAGAGCAAUUUGAAGCCAUCUGGGCCAGGAAAACCCACGAGACUCCUGAUUAAUCAGAAAAAAAAAAAAAAAAGCCUGAUCUGUGGCUCACGGUGGAGUGGCAGUCUGAGUAAAGCUGAGACAGCACCCAGGCCCUGAGUUCCAGCUGCAGUUCCAGCACAGACAACAGCACAAAACCCACUCAGUGUUUGCUCUCUCUGACUUGAUAAAUCACCUGUUCAGGGUCUUUUGAAUUGAAAAAAAAAAAAACUCUUCCUCUAAUGGUGCUAGUUUACAUUAGAAAGACUGUAUUGGCUCUUUAAAGAACACAAUCAUUUAUUUAAUUUCUCCUAAACUCAUUGGUAUCUCCAUGUUGGGUGGUGCUGAAGAUUUGUUUGAAAAGAUGAAGACCUGAAGUUUAUUAUAGUGAAUUCAAUCAUUUUUUGCUGGGCAGAUGGAAAUUGGAUUGGUACAAACUGAUGCACAUCAUAAGGAGUUUUGAGUGAUUGAAGGUGCUUUAUGUUCUCCAUAUUAAAUACUUUUGAUAUA